CCAACGGCCCUCUUUAGGGCCACAAAUGGCAGAAUGCGAACAUAUU
rfam:Angiostrongylus cantonensis strain Taiwan genome assembly, scaffold: ACAC_contig0002383